UUCAAUUAAUAAGCAAAUUCG
rnacentral:piRNA from 1 species